rnacentral:rRNA from 1 species
GAUGAACGCUGGCGGCGUGCCUAAUACAUGCAAGUCGAGCGAACGGACGAGAAGCUUGCUUCUCUGAUGUUAGCGGCGGAGGGGGGAGUAACACGUGGAUAACCUACCUAUAAAACUGGGAUAACUUCGGGAAACCGGAGCUAAUACCGGAUAAUAUUUUAAACCGCAUGUUUCAAAAGUGAAAGACGGCCUUGCUGUCACUUAUAGAUGAAUCCCCGCUGCAUUAGCUAGUUGGUAAGGUAACGGCUUACCAAGGCAACGAUGCAUAGCCGACCUGAGAGGGUGAUCGGCCACACUGGAACUGAGACACGGUCCAGACUCCUACGGGAGGCAGCAGUAGGGAAUCUUCCGCAAUGGGCGAAAGCCUGACGGAGCAACGCCGCGUGAGUGAUGAAGGUCUUCGGAUCGUAAAACUCUGUUAUUAGGGAAGAACAUAUGUGUAAGUAACUGUGCACAUCUUGACGGUACCUAAUCAGAAAGCCACGGCUAACUACGUG